UGAAAUGUUGCCAUGUUUUUAUUGAACACACCAUGUAAACAUUCACAGUGCAGGUGGAAAAAGUAUGAACCCUUAGAUUUAAUAACUGGUUGAACCGCUUUUGGCAGCAAUAACUUCAACCAAACGUUUCCUGUAGUUGCAGAUCAGACGUGCACAACGGUCAGGAGUAAUUCUUGACCAUUCCUCUUUACAGAACUGUUUCAGUUCAGCAAUAUUCUUGGGAUGUCUGGUGUGAAUCGCUUUCUUAAGGUCAUGCCACAGCAUCUCAAUCGGGUCAGCACUCUGACUAGGCCACUUCAGAAGGUGUAUUUUCUUCUGUUUAAGACAUUCUGUUGUUGAUUUACUUCUAUGCUUUAGGUCCUGUUGAGCUUCAGCUGGUAGAUAGAUGGCCUUAAGUUCUCCUGCAAAAUGUCUUGAUAAACUUGGGAAUUCAUUUUUCCUUCGAUGAUAGCAAUCCGUCCAGGCCCUGACGCAGCAAAGCAACCCCAAACCAUGAUCCCCCCACCACCAUACUUCACAGUUGGGAUGAGGUUUUGAUGUUGGUGUGCUGUGCCUUUUUUUCGC